UCCCUGGUAGCUUAGACAGUAAAGAAUCUGCCUGCAAUGCAGGAGACCUGGGUUCAAUCCCUGGGUUGGGAA
rnacentral:tRNA from 1 species